CCACGUCCCUCACAUCGGUUACCUGCAAAACCCUAGCCUUGCUCGACACCAUCUAUAGCCCUAAUCAAACUCUACGGCGACGGAAUCGUCCUCAAUAUCGAAGAUCCAAUCAAAUAGAAUAACACCAGGAAGAACCCGCUGGAACAGGGGCAUAAGCCAUAGACGGUCACCGAAACAGGGUGACCGGCCGUAGGCUUUGGCCGGAUCCCCUUCCGUUCACGCUUUCUCUCUCUUUCGCUUCGAUUCUCUUUCUUUCCUCUUCUCCCUUUGGCCGAUUCUCUUGUGUGUUUUUUAGAUUUUUUUAGGUUUAACCGAAGGAGACACUGAGGUUAUAGACGUCAGCAACUAAGGUAUUCCAACAGAAUUCCGGUGGAUAAGAUCUGUCGUCCGUGUCCCGUUUUUAUGUACAUCGACAAACACCGAGGUUUUGACCCACUGGUGUUCGACGGAAUGCUUUUAUACGAUUCUUUGGUUUUAAAAUUUCGACGGUCAGAUAUUAGUAGAUUUUAUUCAUUGCAACAUUUGCUGAGUAUGUACCUUCAUUCAUAGCUGUUAAAGUCGGAGGGCGCUCUUAAGGCGCAAAAAAGUGCACACCAUAUAAAAAAAAGCGCAAGCUCUUUCUGCUAAAUACUUCCAGAUAUUUGUUAGUUAGAACUGGUGAACACUCAUUGUUCAUUACAACAAUGUGACAAGUAAGAAAAUAUAUUUUAAGUAAUAUGAUUUAAAAAAGUGACUUAAUGUGAAAGGUGUAGACAACUUGCAAAGGUCUUGUACAAAAUUCACCAUGACACAACAAAGGUGUAGACCAUAUAUAGGUUCUAUAGUCAAAGCCAUAAGGCGCCCAUUUGGUGCGCAAGCAAGGCGAUGGCGCCUUAGGUAGACCUAAGGUAACGACCUUGCUCUAUGUGCAACAAAAGGUACGCAAAAUUGUUUUAAAAUGUGAUUAUGGUUCUAUAUCAUCAGUUGUCUUUUGUUUUGCUUAUAUUCAGCUCAGGAUCAGAAGAUUGCUUCAGUCAUUAAUCAGUGCACCAUGAAGUAAUUACUAAGCUUUGCUUACAGUUAUGUUAAAAGACUUGAAACUAUGUAUCAGAGUUAAGUUUUAUGUAUAUAUUUUAUUGUAGCCGCUUUGCAAAUACUCAUACAUUUCGUGUCAAAAGACAUCUUGGGAAAAAUAUUCUUUCCUUGCGGUAUAUGUUCGUGUUUGUCUUUGCUUACGUUUUACGUUACGUUUACAAACU
rnacentral:lncRNA from 1 species